CUUACAUGAUACUUCCAGAAGUUCUCCCUGAGCAGGAAGCAAUAGCACAUCCAGGAAUUCAGAGAAACUUUUUGGUUGUGUGAUUAACACUGAGUUACAAUAUAGAGAAUUUUUUCUAAAUUAAAAUCAUUAACCUUUGAAAAAGAUGUGUUGAAAGUUAGUUUGUCAGUUUAGAAAUGGAAGAGUAAAGCUUCCCUUAGUCUAUUUUGAAAGCUCCAGCCUACACAUAUUUGCAAGUUUCUCCCAGAAAAUACUGCUCAGGUGUAAUAGCUGCCAGAGGAUGGUGAGACAGUGCACUGCUCUGGUGUUAGUCACUCAUUGACAAACUGCCUGCUUUUGCCACUAGAUUUAUACAGCCAUUUAAAGAGAGAAAAUUCAGGAGCAGCAGACUAAACCAGAGCGGCAUAAUGUGCUAUUUCUUCACCUAAUGGAAAUGUCUGCUUCCGUGGUCACCCUUCUGUCUGCCCAUGAAAUUCUGUGCCUUGAAAGGCAGCCCUAUGUUUUAUAUAGGACAAAUCUAAUUAAAGAGGCUUUUCUUCUCCUUCUAAGGGAACAUUUUUUGAGGUCCUUUAUUGCCUGUCUAUACAAGGUUCAACCCCACUCCCAAGGCCAGGCUUGUCCAUCCUCAUUGAUGGUCCCACUGUGAGAGGGAUCUCACCUUUAUUCAUUCUCAUGGUCUGUCUGGAAGGAACACCAGUAAACUCAAGUCCAUCCUCCUUCAGGUUUCAAAUCCAUUUCUUCCUGAGAUGAGCACAGACAUCUUCAACUUACCUGUGCUGAAUCAUAACAAUCCUAUGGAGGAGUUUGCCCAAAUCCACUCCCAACCAGAAUCAUCUUGCACAGACACAACAGAAGUUGGUUUGUGCAGGAUCCAGGGGCUGCAGGCUUAGAAGAGGUGCAUCUCUGGGCCUCAGUUCAGCAGUCCUUUUAAUGGGCCCAGUCAUAUCAGCCUCAAAAAGCACCUUGAGCAAUUUAGAUAAGCCAUUUAGCAAGCAGUGCUCUUAAUAGACUCUGACAGCCAAACGGGGAUAACACUUCUCACUGCUAUAAAUUAAAGGAGAGAUUUCCUUUUCUCAUGAGGACUUGGAAUAGUGUUAGCAAACACAUUUCCUGAUGGCUUUUUCCUUUCUGUCUAACUUCAGAAUACAUCACUUUGGGGACUGUAUCCACCCCUGAACUGCUCCUGUCUGCCUCCCCCUGCUGCUGCCUGCUCUGUCAGCAGUCUGGGAUGCAGCCCGUGACAUUUUUCACUCCUUGUCUCAGAGGCACAUGGUGCUGAGUCCUGCCCAGAUGCUCCUGCAGGCCUUUCUGUGAAGUCUAAGGAUAGAGCUGUUCAACUGAGUGAUACUCAUAGCAAGAGAGGCAGUCUUGAGAAAGAAAAUCAGACUAAAAGCAGCCUUGCCUCAGAUGGUGCAAACAGUUGAAGAAGAACUUGAUUUCAAUUUAAAGGGCACUUCUUUGCCAGUUCUGAAGUGCAGUGUGUGGUAAUAAGAGAUGAUUAUGCUACACAAUAGCCUGAAUAUAGUAACUGAGGCAUGUUGAAAUUAAAGGAGAUUUCUUCAUAUGAGGCAUGAUGUAAUGAUUUCUGUCAUGCUUACAGCCAGCAAUGAAAUUAGCAACUCAUUACAUACCCAAACCAGGCAAAUAUUUAAGGCUGCAGGUAGUAUAUAAGUAAGAAAACCAAAGCCAGUCUAAGGACCUAAAGGCUGAGUGCAUUCCCUACUUUAUUUAUUAGACCAGAAUAGAAGAAACUAGAAAUAACCAUUUACUGCUCUGAGCAUCCUGUCAAUUAUUUCAAACGACAAACCCAAAAUGCAAUAUGAACAUCUCCCUGCUUCUAGCAAAGCACAAUACCUACUCAAAUAUUCCUCCCCCUCCUUUCCAACCAGAACUUUAAUUCAUUUCUCUUUCUCCCAGUGCCAGGUCAAGUAGAUGAAUAUUGCAAGCACUGCUGAUAGAUGCAAUAGCCAAGCAUUCUUUUCCUCAUUUUUCAAUGAAAAGUAGGGAUUGUUGCUGAAAAUGCAAUGAAAACAUGUUACAGUGUCUGUUUUUAGCAGAAGGCUUGUAAAUUACUAGGCCUUUGUUCCUUGUUCUGAGUUUUCUUGAGAGACUUCUUUUUCUCUUCUGUGAUUAGCUACCUGGUAAUAUUUUGACCUAAGAACUUCUCUGCUCUCUUCUACCUUUUAACUCACUACAGCUUGAGAGGAUGAGUAGCAAGGAGAAAAGUAUCUGAAAAGCUGCUGAUGCUCUUGCUGUUCAACCAGCACAUCUUUCUCUCCUUUCAUCUCACUUAGAGGUUAACAGUAUGUGAUGCAUUAUCCUGAAAGAAUUAACUUCUUAGCAUCAUUAAUAAUUAGUUUUACAGGUAUUGCCAUUAUUUAGAUGUAAACCAAGAAAACUGUUUUUCCCAGACCCAUAAGAAGAGUACUCUGUUAUGACAAUAGCUGUGAAACCAUGGAUGAAAACCUGUCACCCUGGAAAUCUCUGGCAGGACUUCUUAGAGUGCCAGUACCUGUAUUUUCAAACAAAUCAAGUGCCUGAAUCCCUUUGAAGAGCUCAGAUCAGCCAGAUCAGGCAAUGGCACUGCAGCAUACAGCUGGUCUGGGUGGGCCUGUGAAUCUGUUUACAGAUAUGACCCCACGGCACUGAGAGCAGAAUUUAGCCAAGGACUGCUGAAAGAAUUUAAGAGGUUCAGAUGCCCAAAUCCAUGAUUCCUCCUUCCACUCCCACUACAAAUAUUUCCCAUUCAUGCCUGAUCUGACUGCCCACAACUGGUGUAAGGCUGCAGACACACAUUCUCCUCUGGAGCAUCUGUGCUGCUCAAAGAGGUUCUGCCCCCAGCCCACACCCAUCUGUCUCCUCUCCCUCUUGCUCUGUCUCUAGUUUUUAAAGUCACCUGAUUCCCUCCAAGCCCUCCAGAUGUCUAUCCAAAUCUCACUGAUAUUCCAAGAACCACUGAAGGCUGGGCCACAAAGUAGGAAAUGAGGAAUUUUUUCACUGAAAGGGAAAAACAUUAUUUUCCAUUUUCUAAUUAAGGAAAAUAAAUGGAAAGGAGGAGAUUUGGGGGCGGGGGUCAGCCUGAAGUCCAGGAUAAAAGGUGAAUUUCUCAUUGUCUUCACUUUGUUGCUUUCUUAAAUUUUUGUACAGCAGAAAAUCCAGCAUGGUGAAUGUCCAUUGUUUUUCAGAUCUGCUCUGGGUUGUGCUGCAGGGGAAUCACCCUUUCUCUAGGGGAUGCACACAGUCCCCAGCCAGGAGACAUGCUCACUUGGUGCAUAAACAAACCUGAAGGUGACUACACCAGAUGAAAUAUUAAUAACAACUCCUCCUUUCCAUUUCCACCACACCUCUGGUGAUUGUUUGCACCCAUACAAACCUGCUCAUGAGGACUCCUGGAGCUGCAGGAUAGAAGCACAAUUAAUGCACAACGUGCUCACCCUGGCCUGUCACACCAACAGACUGCAUCAAGGAGUUGUCAGGCUGCAAGAAGAACCUUCCUGCAGACCCAGAGAUUUCCACCUGGAAAUAUUCUCAUCCACGAGCCUUGGCACACACACCCUCCACCCUGUCCUGUGUGCAGGGCAGCCUUGUGCCACAUGUCCAGAUUUUCAUAUCCACAAUCAUAGAAAGCCACAUGAUGUUUUGUUUCAUAUUUAUGUAUAAGUGCUACAAAGCUUUCUGAUGCUCCAUAUUCUCUUUGCAAGCAGAAAAGAAGAAGCAGUUUCAUCCCUUUUCUUCAGACUUGUGCCAUUUUCCCCCUUUCAGGAUCAGCAAUUGUCAGGCUGUUGUUUAACAAUCCCUUGUGCUGGUGCUGUUUGUGGUGACUAAAACUCUUGCUUUCUCUAACAAAAGGCUUUUUAUUGUUACUUUUUCCUCCACUGAAUGAGAUAAUAAGGGCAAGCGAUUUUUGAUUUAACCUCCUGCUGCUAAGUUUUCAAAUUUUAAAGUGUUAACAAAAGAGAAUGCAUGUUUUCAGUGUUGAAAGCUCUGAUUAUACUAUGGUAAAAAUUUAUAAAAAUCAAAGGCAAGCAGACAAUAGCAAGCUAGAGAUAUGUGACUCUCUUUAACUGCUGGCCUCCUGUAAUAGAAAUGGAACUUUGUCAAGAAAGCAAGCUGUAAAGAGAGACUGUUCUACCAAGUCUUAGACUGUAUCCAUUCUUGAUAGAUUUAGUUAACCUACAAGGGAACAACAGUAUUGACAUAUAUCACUUUGAAAAAUGCCAGCUGAAUGAGGUAUUUUUGUUUCCUGGGUUACGUGCUGAAGCCAUGUCAUUUGUUCUGGUUUUUUUCAGUCCCUGCUAACACAUUCUGUUCCUGUAUUUUAUGAUUAUAUGUUCACUCUCUGAACUACCCCAAAGAUAUUGAUUGCAUUUUUUUUGGAGAGUGAGCAGUGUUUCAGUCUAUAUGAAACUCUCAUUUUUGUUCUUAUUUAUGUAAUCUUUUGGACUAGAAAUACAAUUAGAUGAGUAAAAUUACUAUUCUAACAAUCCUUUAAACCUGGUAAAUUAUUCUUGGUAGGGAAACUUCUGGUUCCAUAGUUUUCCUCAGCUGACAUAACACACAAGAAAGAUUUACUCCCAAAGGAGGAAACUAAUGAAAUUACUUAAAUUUAGGUGUUAUCCCAGUAGGUUUUUCCUAAUAAUUAAUCACUGCCUGGUCCUGUGCCUUUCAAGCCUCCAUCCUGGAAGGAUAAUGAAUAUUAAGGAAAGAAACCUUUUGGUUUUUUGAGUCUUCAUUAAAACUAAGGAUACAGCUGCCUGCUGAGGCACCUCACAAGGCAGACACAGAUCUGGGAUUUUAAGAUUCAGAUCUGUUAAUAUUCAGAGCAUGACCAGAACACCAAACCAAUAUGGUCAAUGUCACCACUGCUGUUAGUCACAGCUUGUUUGGGGAGAAGAGUUUGGGUCAGGCUUGUCAACAACGUUUGAUGCAAACAAAGCUUUUACAAGAGGAUUGUUCUCUUUUCCUCUCAUUCUCUUGUCUUCUAUUUCCUGCAUGUGUAGUGAGUGGACAUCUGUGUGGGCAAACUGCUCUCUGUGGUGUCCUGCUGACACCCCACCAAAUCUGUGUGCUGGUAAGAUUCCUGCUGCUGUUGCUCAGGACCCUGAUUUGAUCUCUCCCUGCUCCCUUCCUGGGAGAACCAUCCCUGGGUGUUCAGGAAGGGAGCUGAUGUUUAGGAAGGGAGCUGAUGGUGUUGAUAGCAGCUCAGAGCAGCUCUGCUCCCAGGCUAGUGCCAGAAAACAGAUGUGUGAUAUGCCCCAGCCUUGGCAGAUGCACAUGCCAUAUUCCAUUAAAAGGGGUUAUCCAACUUUCUGUCACAUUGAGGGUGAGCAGCUCUUCUCUUUUGCAUCAAAGCCUUAACAGGCAAAAAGAGUGAGCUCCUAGGGGAGGUAAGAACUCAAAGGAAAACUUCCCAGAGUGUGUCAGCACUGGAUGAUUGUCUAUGUGAGAGGUUGCUAUGCCCACAGCCUGGGCUGCUCUAACUCUGGGAUCACUCUAAUGCACAUCCAAGGCUGAACUAAUUCACUCUGCUUUUCCUAAGGCAGCUUUGGAGCCUGGCUAAUGUGGUCAUGGAGCAUCUGGAAUGGUUUGGCAUGCACGAAGAGCAAGCUCCCCACAGAGCAAAGGCAGGGCUUGCAGGAAUAAACCCUUGGUACCACUGAACUCCAGGAGGAGUGGCUCCAGGAGAACUCAGGAAGGAGCAGAAAGCUGCACAACAGCCUAAGAGCAACUACACAGAUAAUUGAUGUGCUGGUUGGAUGUCAGGUUUGGGUGGGAGGCUCCAGCCUGGGCUUCAGGCACUGAACUGCUCCCGUGUUUUAAGCUCACACUUGGUUCUGGUGCCAUCAGUGGUGUUGUGGAAUUGUGUGGAUGGACUGUUGGAGAGGCUCUUUCUGAUAUUCACAAGCAAAAUUAUUGCCAUCCCACUAGCCACUUCUGGUCUUUAUAGGAAAGCUGUUAUGAUCCAUGUUUUAUGGUCUUAGGGUAUGAAUUGUAUAACCAAAGGGACUAACCCCACUUUGGUGAAUGGCUGAAAAUGUUUACUAUAGGAAAAAAAAUGAAAUUAUACUGAGAAACAUUACUUUUAUAAAACAAUUUGUGCUGAGAAGAUGAGUGUGCUAUGAAAAGCACAGGAUUUUGCUGGAAGUGUGCCAGAGCAACACUGUCCCAAAGUGAUUGAUUUGACUUCACUACAAAUUUGCUUAAUUCAGAUGAAUGACUGGGCUUUGGGCCGGUUGGUAUUUUAGGUGGAAAUGAUCCAAAAUGGGAGUUGAGUGGAGAAGAUUUGGGAAAAGUCUUCAUAGAUAAAGACUUAGACCCAAGCCAGCUCUCAGGAGUGGUUGUUUUUCUGCUCCAAGUUAUUCAGAAACCCAAACUGCAGGAGGAUUGCAGUGAAUGGGUUUGAUUUUGAGAGUCUACAGCACAAUGUGAGACAAUGGGCACAUUAAAACCUACAUUAAGUUGAAUAAUGAAUAAUGAAACUACAUACAGAUUGAAUAAUGCUGAAUCAAUACAUGAAUGGAAGUGUGUGACAGGGGUUGCUAUGGCAUCUCCCUUAUUUAAUAAAGGAAUAAAUAAAGGAAUUGAAAUCUCCAUAAAUGGUCUCAGCAGAAAUUAGAGCUGCUCCUGGUGACUCUGAUAUAUACAGUAGUAUUUUUUGAAAAUAAAUUAUCUUCCUCCAUAAACAAGAAUAGGUUUUUUGGAUCAUCUUUAAAAUUAUUUUCAAAUUUGUCUAAAUUUAUGCCAAUUCCAGUUGAACUGUCCCUGAAGCUUCACUUGGGGAGUAGGGAAGUUAUGAGCAGAGAGCUGUAGAAGUGUUUUGUUCAAAUUUCUGGUUUGUGCUGGACAUGUCAGAGGACAAGCAAAAUAGAGCCCAAAAUGCAGUUCCUUGGAGAAUGUGGCAUCUAAGCCUGAAAGAACUUCAGCCCUGAAUUUUAUUACUUGACUUAACAAAGAAGGGAUAGUAACAAGAUUUACUCAAUGCCCCUGAGCUGGAAAAUCCCCAUUUACAUUCCAGAUGGAGAUGCCAGACCACAUCCUCAUAUGUAAAAUCAGGGUGUCCAUGGAAUUAAUUGAAUUACACAAUUUGGGUGUGGAAGGAUGAAAGGGCAAGAGAGUUAUAUAAAACAGAUAAUUAAUCUAUGAAGCUGUGAUCUGGUUUUACUUGUCAAACAUUGAUUUUCCCAUUUAGCCUUACCAGGAUGUGAUGAUAUCACACACACAUUGAAAGAGUUUUGUCUGAUCUGAGCUUUCAAGGCGUGGUAUUAAUUACAUGUCAUCAAUCAUGGGUUGUAGUUCUUCAUCUUGAACAGGACAGUGCUGAUGCUGCACAUCACAUCUUGUAGGUGUUCAGAUGUGUAAUUAGUGGCAACAGAUAUUUAUAUUUUCUCAGUAGCAUCUCUUAUUAAUAAAAUCUCAAUUAUUCUAGCAAACAUUUCCCUCAAAUGAACAGGAAAAGGGCAUAUCAUGGCAAAAGAAAAUAUAAAGACAAUUUGGAUGAAGCUUCUUAAAAUUAAUUUUUUUUUUCUUCAAUUUAAAGGUUGAGUGGAGGUUUCUCUGUGCUUGAGCAUUUGUUACCCCUUAAAUGUAACACACCCACCACAUCUCCUACUGUUCCUGGAGAGUGUAUCAACCUCUAAAUGAAUAAUUUAAAGCUAAGUUAACUUUCCUGAGAAGGAGUUUACUGAAUAGAUGUAACUGGUGCCCGCUAGUUAUCACAUUCCAGGGUACUUGAUGAAUAAAUUAUCUUUUUUCCCCCCAGCAUGAAACAGUCCUAAUUUUUGGAAAUACAUUUGCUCAAAAUAUCCAAAAAAAGUCAAAUAUAUUUUUAUGUGUGAAGAGCCUUCACUCACUUGAGUCACAGGCAUCUAUUUCCACAACAAAAUGUAAAAACCAAAUGACAAAUGAUUAAUGUUUUUCUUAGGAGAAAAUAUCAUUGUUUGCUUGCAGAAUCAGGCACUUUCAUGUGCUUGAUUUAAAGCUUAUCAGCCACAGAAAGGUCAUGCACCUUGUGUAGGUCAGGCAGAUGAAGAACCCAUCUUUUCCCACAUUUUUGUGAAAAGAGAAAACAGCUCAUGGGGAUAUUUAAAAGUAGCCAAAAAGUUCAUUCAAAGGGGUCCUUAUCUCUUGCUGUUUGUCCGAGUUGCAGCUGAAGAAAAUGGAGCAGAAUUAUAAGGAAACCCUUCACCCUUGUGGGUCUGUGCAGCCUCCCUGUUAUGAAAGGGAUGCACUUCCAGUUACUUACAGUCAGUGAACUGCUGGAGUUAAUCAAAAGUAUAAAUAAUUUGCAACAAGAGGAUGAAUGGGGCUGGGAAAAUUAUUUGUCCAUGUAUUGAUUGCAAGUGUAUUUUUCAAGUUCCCCAUGAUCUGAUUUUUUUUCCAUGGGUGGCAAAACAAAUUGGGCCAGAUCAUUAACUGCAAACUCAGCACCAUUUGAACUGAAUUCAGAACUGCUGGACAGUUUGCCUUUCUGUAAGUCUGCUCUGUAAAUCAGCAAACAAAAUCUGGCAGCUGAAUAUUUUAUUCUCAAUAAUAAACUAUACUUGGGAAUGCAUGUGCUCUCUCCUGUG